rnacentral:lncRNA from 1 species
ACUGUGUUUGCUGUGGCAACAGCCACCAGCAGCUAAUUCCCUUUCCUCCAGGAAAGCCAAGUAUUUGCAUUUCUGCUGGUGUGGUUUAGAUACUCUUCUUCCCUUCCCCAAACGAAGGAGUAAGUGGAGGGAGGUGCAGUCUUAAAAACCACUGCUGAGUUGAUUCUCAGCACCUCAAUUCCAAAGUGCCUGAGAAGCCAUCUCUGAGUCUACCCACUUCCAAGGACAAAGGCCAGCUAUUUAUAAGUCCAAUCUGCUCCACCUCCAUUCCUCUCAUCCCAUGAAGCUGCAGGGGCUAGCCGUCUUGGCAGCAUUGCUUCUCUUCUCUGUCCCCUCAUCAGGACAUUGACAGGGCAGUUGUACCACAUGGAAGACCUCCAGGACUGUCACUCCAUGCCCUCGCAGUUCAGAGGAAUCAAAACAAAUGUUUAUGGGUCAGCCCAGAGACGAAAAAUGAGACCAUUUGAAGGCUUCCAGCGCAAAGCUAUUGUAAUUUGUCCCACUGACGAGGACCUAAAAGACCGAACAAUA